rnacentral:lncRNA from 1 species
UUCCUUUUUUCCAUUUUUUUUUUUUUUUGGUUUGCUCUUCACAUUUCCUUUACACAAUUAGAUUUCUAGGAUUGGCUUUUAAUUGAAUGUACCAACAGCAUAUGAUUAUAGAAGCCAACAAUUUUCCAAAACAUUGUAUUUAGUGAGAUAGAUCUGCAAUGACAUUAAAGUUUUAUAUGCAAUUCUUUAGAACUCGGCACGCGAAGCAUAGAAUUGAUUGUAAUCGUGGAUCGAAUCAACACAACUUGUGCUCUUUUAUUACGAUUUC